UCGGGAAUUUUGUGCAAUGGGCGAAAGCCUGACACAGCAACGCCGCGUGAAGGAUGAAGUAUUUCGGUAUGUAAACUUCGAAAGAAUAGGAAGAAUAAAUGACGGUACUAUUUAUAAGGUCCGGCUAACUACGUGCCAGCAGCCGCGGUAAUACGUAGGGACCAAGCGUUGUUCGGAUUUACUGGGCGUAAAGGGCGCGUAGGCGGCAAUUCAAGUCAUCUGUGAAAUCUCCGGGCUUAACUCGGAACGGUCAGAUGAUACUGCUUUGCUAGAGUGCAGAAGGGGCAAUCGGAAUUCUUGGUGUAGCGGUGAAAUGCGUAGAUAUCAAGAGGAACACCUGAGGUGAAGACGGGUUGCUGGGCUGACACUGACGCUGAGGCGCGAAAGCCAGGGGAGCAAACGGGAUUAGAUACCCCCGUAGUCCCUGAGCGGGCUGGCAAGGCGCAU
rnacentral:rRNA from 1 species